UUUCAUCGAGGCAAAGAAAAACAAGUUAGGAAACACCCCACGUGGUUACGCUGCGCUGCUGAGUCACGUGACCGUACAGCAACGAAUCACAGCAGAGCAGGAAGAAGGGGCGGAGCAAAGUGUGUGUGCAGGAGAGGAGUCGAGCAGAGAGAGCUCCUUUUUCAUGAAACGGGAGUAAAGUCGUGAACUCAGAGGAAAGAAACAAAUUAAAGUAUCGAUCAUAUACCACUACCAACGUCCUGAUCGAUACGUGCAUCGAUCUGCCCACCCUUGUCUCCUGGAUCGUAGCUGAGAUCAGCGUGAAUCACGUGGGUCUCUGCUCCCUGAUCUGUUUGCUGUGUUUGGAAAGAGUUCCAGCUUCAUCACGGAGUUUCUCUCGGUUUGUGGGCUCAUCUAAAGCUGAUCAUCAGGAGGAGACGAGCCAUUUAGACUCAGCUCAGCCACUACAGAGGAAACAAUGACUUCAACCCAAAAGGACCAACAUGGAGCGAGAAGUCAGCGCUCUCAGGAGGCUGA